rnacentral:rRNA from 1 species
CGAAGGAUGCAAGCGUUAUCCGGAUUCAUUGGGUUUAAAGGGAGCGUAGGUGGACUGAUAAGUCAGUGGUGAAAUCUUCGAGCUUAACUCGGAAAUUGCCAUUGAUACUGUUGGUCUUGAGUACAGUUGCUGUGGGCGGAAUAUGACAUGUAGUGGUGAAAUACAUAGAGAUGUCAUAGAACACCGAUUGCGAAGACAGCUCACAAAGCUGUAACUGACACUGAGGCUCGAAAGUGCGGGGAUCAAACAGGAUUAGAUACCCUGGUAGUCCGCACCGUAAACGAUGAUUACUCGCUGCUAGAUGGCAACAUUUAGUGGCUUAGCGAAAGCGAUAAGUAAUCCACCUGGGGAGUACGCCGGCAACGGUG